rfam:Oryza sativa Japonica Group DNA, chromosome 1, cultivar: Nipponbare, complete sequence.
UAAAAAAACAAACCCUGGUUUCCAUGCCCAGAGUUUGACCAUCCGUCUUAUUUAAAAUAAUUAAAAAAAAAUUAAAAAUACAAGUCACGCAUAAAAUAUUAAUCAUGUUUUAUCAUCUAACAAUAAUGAAAAUACGAAUUAUAAAAAACCUCAUAUAAGACGGACAGUCAAAGUUGGACACGAAAACCUAGGGUUUAUUUUUUU